CCUACGGGAGGCUGCAGUGAGGAAUAUUGGUCAAUGGGCGCAAGCCUGAACCAGCCAAGUCGCGUGAGGGAUGACGGUCCUAUGGAUUGUAAACCUCUUUUGUCGGGGAGAACGGCCCGCCACGUGUGGCGGGAAGGAGAGUACCCGAAGAAAAAACAUCGGCUCACUCCGUGCCAGCAGCCGCGGUAAUACGGAGGAUGCGAGCGUUAUCCGGAUUUAUUGGGUUUAAAGGGUGCGUAGGCGGAAGGUUAAGUCAGCGGUAAAAUGUCGGUGCUUAACAACGGCCUGCCGUUGAAACUGGUCGGCUUGAGUGAGCGAGAAGUAGGCGGAAUGCGUGGUGUAGCGGUGAAAUGCAUAGAUAUCACGCAGAACACCGAUUGCGAAGGCAGCAUACCGGCGCUCAACUGACGCUGAGGCACGAAAGCGUGGGGAUCGAACAGGAUUAGAUACCCAAGUAGUC
rnacentral:rRNA from 1 species